GACGAACGCUGGCGGCGUGCCUAAUACAUGCAAGUAGAACGCUGAAGGAGGAGCUUGCUUCUCUGGAUGAGUUGCGAACGGGUGAGUAACGCGUAGGUAACCUGCCUUGUAGCGGGGGAUAACUAUUGGAAACGAUAGCUAAUACCGCAUAAUAGUAGAUGUUGCAUGACAUUUGCUUAAAAGGUGCAAUUGCAUCACUACCAGAUGGAGCUGCGUUGUUUGUGCUAGGUGGUGGGGUAACGGCGCACGAAGGCGAGGAUCCAUAGCCGAACGGAGAGGGGGGUCGGCCGCACUGGGAGGGAGACACGGCCCAGUCGCCUACGGGAGGCAGCAGGAGGGAAACGUCGGCAAUGGACGGGAGUCAGACCGAGCAACGCCGCGGGCGGGAAGAAGGUUGUCGGAUCGGAAAGCUCUGUUGUAAGAGAAGAACGCGCGUUAGAGUGGAAAGUACACACUGUGACGGUAACGUACCAGAAAGGGACGGCUAACUACGUG
rnacentral:rRNA from 1 species